rnacentral:rRNA from 1 species
CUCUUGACGUUAGCGGCGGGACGGGUGAGUAACACGUGGGUAACCUACCUAUAAGACUGGGAUAACUUCGGGAAACCGGAGCUAAUACCGGAUAAUAUUUCGAACCGCAUGGUUCGAUAGUGAAAGGUGGUUUUGCUAUCACUUAUAGAUGGACCCGCGCCGUAUUAGCUAGUUGGUAAGGUAACGGCUUACCAAGGCGACGAUACGUAGCCGACCUGAGAGGGUGAUCGGCCACACUGGAACUGAGACACGGUCCAGACUCCUACGGGAGGCAGCAGUC